rnacentral:rRNA from 1 species
CCUACGGGGGGCAGCAGUGGGGAAUAUUGCACAAUGGGGGAAACCCUGAUGCAGCCAUGCCGCGUGUGUGAAGAAGGCCUUCGGGUUGUAAAGCACUUUCAGCGAGGAGGAAAGGGUGUAAGUUAAUACCUUACAUCUGUGACGUUACUCGCAGAAGAAGCACCGGCUAACUCCGUGCCAGCAGCCGCGGUAAUACGGAGGGUGCGAGCGUUAAUCGGAAUUACUGGGCGUAAAGCGUGCGCAGGCGGUUUGUUAAGCGAGAUGUGAAAGCCCCGGGCUCAACCUGGGAACCGCAUUUCGAACUGGCAAACUAGAGUCUUGUAGAGGGGGGUAGAAUUCCAGGUGUAGCGGUGAAAUGCGUAGAGAUCUGGAGGAAUACCGGUGGCGAAGGCGGCCCCCUGGACAAAGACUGACGCUCAGGCACGAAAGCGUGGGGAGCAAACAGGAUUAGAUACCCGUGUAGUC